UACGUAGGGUGCAAGCGUUAAUCGGAAUUACUGGGCGUAAAGCGUGCGCAGGCGGUUGUGCAAGACAGAUGUGAAAUCCCGGGGCUCAACCUCGGAACUGCAUUCGAUACUUCUUUGCUGGAGUACUGGAGAGGAGAUUGGAAUUUACGGUGUAGCAGUGAAAUGCGUAGAUAUCGUAAGGAAGACCAGUGGCGAAGGCGGAUCUCUGGACAGUUACUGACACUGAGGCACGAAGGCCAGGGGAGCAAACGGG
rnacentral:rRNA from 1 species